rnacentral:ncRNA from 1 species
CUCGGACGGUCAGACUGUUCGGCCUGGGAAUCGUCCAGGCAACCGGUUCCAUUUUACCCAAAACCCAAAAUCUGGUAAAACGGAAAGGUUUGGCACCUUGAUGUCGGUUCUUCGCCACCUGAGGUUGUAUUAUGUUCUAAGGGUUGGGGUAUUCGUCCAUUAAAGUGGUACGUGAGUUGGAUUUAGAACAUCGUGAGACAGUUCGGUCCAUAUCCRG